UUUCUUGCUUCGGCAGAACAUAUACUAGAAUUGGAACGAUUCAGAGAAGAUAAACAUGGCCCUGAACAAGGAUGGCACG
rnacentral:snRNA from 1 species